GCCUGUUGCCUGGUGAAUCAGCCUUGCCAUUCGCUCUCUGCUCUUUCGAGCACGGAUCCAGAUCGAAUGAGUCAUUCAUUUACUGAGCACAUGCUGGGUGCCAAGCACUAGGCUAGCAAGAGCAAGAGGACAAAAAUAUCUACCAUCCUAUGGCUUCCAUUUUCAUCAAGGUCUGAUUUUCUUAACUCUACUACGGUAAGAAGAUGCCCUCCAUCAGCAGGCCGUGUCUGCUGGGACCUCUCUGGAGACUUCCUGAACCCUGUGGAUUUACAGUAAGAUGCAGUUUCCUGGGGAGUAAUUCUGGUGGAUACAAAUUCCGGAGUAUUACACCUGGCUUGCCUGGAGAUGUUACAAGUAGCUGGAUGGAUUCUUCAGCCUGGAUGCCCACUGAAAACAAGGACCGAAACUAAGAGGAUUGUAUCUCUACCCUUGACUCAAUGAGAAUGUUUGUUGUCAUCUCUCGGGCUACCUGGAGCUCCCUCUAAAAUGGGCUGGGACACUGCCUGAUUGAGGUGGCCAUUGAGAAUUCAAGUGUACCUCUUGGUCCCUGAUGCAGAAAUGAAGUCCCCAGCAUGCUCAAGAAGAGCUUCCUUGGAGGAUGAGAGGCAUGGGAAUCUAAGUAUACCCUUUAAGCGUUCCAGAAGGAUUUUGAGAUCCUUUCCUAAAUCAAAGGUGGAAUAUUUGGGGAUUUGGAAAAUUGAGAAGCCAGUCUCUCAGAAGAACCAGUUGUGUUACUUUGCUGUGAGAUGCCUGCCCUAAGAGAGGAGCAGAAGGUCGGAACGGGUCCUCUAAUGUGAUAAUUAG
rnacentral:lncRNA from 1 species